rnacentral:piRNA from 1 species
GUCAGAAAGGAGGCAAAUUUGAUCC